GGGUUUCGUUCGGCGCUGAGUAGCGACCCGGGAUUGAGCUUUUAGCUGACAAUUGGAAGUGGCUUGUAUCACUUUGGACCUAAUGGAUAAAGAAAGGGGCCAUAUGCCUCCAGAAGACUGCUCCCUUGGUCAUAAGAGAGAACAUCUGAAGGACCGUCUAAGUAACUCUAUUGGCCCCCCAUAUUCUUUGGCUUAUGACCCCCUCCCUCCCUCCAUGUUCAAAGUUCAUCAUUUCAAUCUCUGAUUCUGACCGCACGCUGCCUUCUCCUCCAACUUUAACUCCUCCUGCAUCCCUUUUACGAGGACUGUGGUGAUUACAUCAGGUCCGUGAAGAUCAUCCAAGGUGGAUGGAGACUUGGAGCAGAUAUAGUUUGAUUUUAAAAAAUUAAGCAGGUCACAAUUUCCCCAUAUAAGAAAACAAAUCAAGGAUUAUUGGAUACCUGUCUGUUGGAAUAAAAAUCUUGCAAGAGAGGAAUAGACUGAAAAAGGAGAGGGAACUGGGAUAUCAGUGGUGACUCCUUUAUGGUGCUAUACUUCUGGUUUCCUGAAAAGAGCCUUUCUGAUCUACACUGCCACGGAAUCCUAGGUGUGGUCUAAGCCUCAGUACAGCUGCCUUCUCUUCCAGUUGCACCCAGAGGAAUGCGGCAUCUAUUGCGAAAUUGCUUUUCAGGAAGUGUGUACCAAAGAAACUUCCAGCAUCAGCAGUACAUCAGAGUGGCAUGUCUGCACACUCAUGCACUAGCAACUGUCAGUAUUUUUCAACGUUGGCAAAGUCAUAGGCAACACAAAGAAAAUUAAUGGUGGUUUAUACUCACAUUUCUUGAGUUGAAAAUAUUAUAUUUUAUUGGCCAUUGUUUCUUCCUUUGUGAGUUGUGUGUUAUCUUUGGUUGUUCAGCCUCUUCUUUUAAUUAACAAACUUUCUUAAAAGCUCUCCUCUUUAGAAUGAUACUUCUAUUUGUCACUGCUUUUUUUUUUUUACUUUAAGGAGGAAUCAUUUGUUUCAUUAUAUUAGAUUCAGAGAAGAAAGAUCAUAUGCAUGUGAGCAAAUUACUAAAUCUCCAAGUUGGAGAGUUGGCUCGACCUUUCCAUCAAAACAAAUGGGAGGGCAGGGCGCCUGGG